CCCCAGAUGUUGCUGAACUACAACUCCCAUGAUUCUCUGGCUAUCUAUGUAAAUCAAAGAAUCAUGGGAGUUGUAGUUCAGCAACAUCUGGGG